ACGAAAGAUUGACGAUUGGUAAGAAUCCACAACAAGUUGUUCUUCAUUGAUGUAUCUGAGGGUCUGUAGCUCAGUUGGUUAGAGCACACGCUUGAUAAGCGUGGGGUCACAAGUUCAAGUCUUGUCAGACCCACCAAGUCUACUGAACACAGAAGAGCAGAUAUAUUAAGAUCUUAAGCUGGGGACUUAGCUUAGUUGGUAGAGCGCCUGCUUUGCACGCAGGAGGUCAACGGUUCGACUCCGUUAGUCUCCACCACUAAUUAAAGACUAAGUGAUUACAGAACUUAGUAAGCAGAUAGCUUAUUAAGUUCUGUGAUUUAUCACAGUUAACUACUCGCUGACGAGGCGGUAGUGAAUCAUUAACAGAAUAUAUUUGAGUUGAAAUAAUUGUUUAAACUCGUUUUAGUUGAUAUUAGCAAGUAAUUGUUAAUGUUGAAUGAAAUGAGCACUAGCGAUAAAACUGAAUCAAGCGUUUUGGUAUAUGAAUUAAAUUGAAGCUGUAUAGUGAUUAAGUUCACAGGCAACAAAUAGAAGUGAUUAAGUUCACAUUGUUGAUCCUCCUUGUAGGGAUUAACGACUGUUUGGGGUUGUAU
rnacentral:tRNA from 1 species